rnacentral:rRNA from 1 species
AGCUCUAAGAGCGUAUAUUAAUGGUGUUGCAGUUAAAUAGCUCGUAGUUGGAUUUCUGGUACAAUGCGACUGGCCCGCGGCGGUUACGUCCGUCUGUGAGUGCCGGUGCGCGUUUGCCAUCCUUCUAGGAAACGUUUCUACCCUUCACUGGGCCGGACUCGCGAUCUAGAUCUUUUACUUUGAAAAAAUUAGAGUGUUUAAAGCAGGCUUUUGCUGUGAAUACAUUAGCAUGGAAUAAUAAUCUAGGACUUCGGUUCUAUUUUGUUGGUUUCUAGUACUGAAGUAAUGAUUGAUAGGGAUAGUUGGGGGUGCUAGUAUUGGCCUGCCAGAGGUGAAAUUCUUGGAUUCGGUCAAGACUAACUUAUGCGAAAGCAUUCACCAAGGAUGUCUUCU